rnacentral:rRNA from 1 species
GACGAACGCUGGCGGCGUGCUUAACACAUGCAAGUCGAACGGAAAGGCCCUGCUUUUGUGGGGUGCUCGAGUGGCGAACGGGUGAGUAACACGUGAGUAACCUGCCCUUGACUUUGGGAUAACUUCAGGAAACUGGGGCUAAUACCGGAUAGGAGCUCCUGCUGCAUGGUGGGGGUUGGAAAGUUUCGGCGGUUGGGGAUGGACUCGCGGCUUAUCAGCUUGUUGGUGGGGUAGUGGCUUACCAAGGCUUUGACGGGUAGCCGGCCUGAGGGGGUGACCGGCAACAUGGGACUGAGGAACCGGCCAGAACCCUUCGGGGGGGAAGAGGGGGGAAUAUUGCACAAUGGGCGGAAGCCUGAUGCAGCAACGCCGCGUGCGGGAUGACGGCCUUCGGGUUGUAAACCGCUUUCGCCUGUGACGAAGCGUGAGUGACGGUAAUGGGUAAAGAAGCACCGGCUAACUACGUG